AGCAGAAAUAUUAAAUUCCAAAAUCCAGGAGGACUGAAACUACAAUUACACCUAUAUCCACACGUAAAAUUACACAUGGACAACAUAUUUUCUAUAAAAAGAAUAAAUACUAAAACAAGGCAAUGGUAUUAUUUUAUUUAUCAAAUUGAAAUUAAAAUAAGAGAAUCGAAAAUCUAGCAAGGAGGCCGUAAAGAGGGAACCCACCAAAUUGAUAGCUAUAGAUUAUACUUGAAAGAUCCUUUUUUAAUGGAAUAUAUAUUUCUCUCACAGGUCGACAUUAUUGCAUAGAUUGGCAU
rnacentral:lncRNA from 1 species